rnacentral:lncRNA from 1 species
UCCCCAAGAAAACAGAGAGGAGCUGAUCUGACACACCUCCCAGCAGGAUCUUUGUUCUAUUCAAGUUAGAUCACCUCCCCUCCUGCACCCCAGUGUGCCACCUUCACGCAGGAUGGUUUUGAUAUUGGAGGAGGGGGGGACCCAAAUGUCUAUGGGGCAAGGUUUUAUACUAAGCAGCAAGCAGGGGUAAGUGGGUAAGCAUCUAAUUGGAAAGCAUCUGUGGCCUUUAACAUAAUUGUCUGGUGCUGGGAGUCACAUCAUAAACUUAAGUUCUGUUCCCCUUAGCAUUGGUGGUUGUUAGACAGGGAUUGGGCUUGUAACCUGGGGUGCAGGUUUCCUGGGGAGUAACCUGGAGACACUCCUCUUGUUGAGGGUGUAUCCUGGAAACUUUGGUCGGGUUGGGGAUUAGCCUAGAGAUUGGAGUGAGGGACCAGCCUGUUAGUUUACCUGAGAUCAAACUUAGGUCAGGUCUAAAAUGGGGUCUGAACUUAAAGAUGUAGCAUCUCAAUAUGGUUGAAAAUCUGUUAGAUUGGCAUUUUGUCGCUUAAAAAGAACCACUGGCAGGAGAACCUGCCUGGCCACAUGCUGGCAUGAGCUGGAGUGUCCUGUGUUUUCAUGAGAUUAACUCGUAUGACAAGGGGCUUUGUCAGGAUCCAGGGGAGUUGUGAGACCCAUGUAAAGGAAAGGAAACUCUCACACUCCAGUUCCCCCGGCAUUACGUGCUUUCUUCCCAGAAAUGGAAAAAUGGAUGGCAUUGUGGCUUCAAGGUUUUACCAAAUCUAUAUUUUUAUCUUAUCAUUAAUUUAAAAUAGCAUCAAUACAUUAAAUUGUUUGUAAAAAGGUGGACACAGCUAAAUUAUACUGCCCACUUCUUCCUGGUGGCGUGGGGUGGAAUAUCUACUAAUCUGACCAUUUAUUUUUUUGCUUCUCUUGUUCGCUUGAGGCAGAGUCUCCACAAGUCCUGUCUGCCUUGAACCUCACUCUGCAAACC